CAGCCCUAAACGAUGCGCGUUAGGUGUAUCGGUGACCACGAGUCACCGAGGUGCCGAAGGGAAACCGUGAAACGUGCCGCCUGGGAAGUACGGUCGCAAGGCUGAAACUUAAAGGAAUUGGCGGGGGAGCACCGCAACGGGAGGAGCGUGCGGUUCAAUUGGAUUCAACGCCGGACAACUCACCGGAUAAGACAGCGGAAUGAUUGCCGGGCUGAAGACCCUGCAUGACCAGCUGAGAGGAGGUGCAUGGCGUAGUCGUGU
rnacentral:rRNA from 1 species